rnacentral:lncRNA from 1 species
UUCGAGUAAUCGCAUAUAAAAUUAUGGGUGUAAAAAUUGCUAAUUCUACUUGAAUGCAAUUUGAUAAUUUUAAAAUUAUACUUGACACCAUUUGUGAUUGGUGUUGGACCUGAUAAAAUCGGCCCAAGACUGCGGGUCAGUCCGGGUCACCCGUCAAAAAACAGGCUUUGAGCUUCAGCCCAUCAAAACUUGGGCCGUUUUGGCCCAGCCCAGCGAUGGCCCGGUCCGUUUGGACUAGGCCCAAAAAUAUGUCAAAUUUUGGUCUUAAAUUAGUCCAAACUCGAGGACCAGCCCGGCCCGUCCAUCAAAAAAUGGGUUUUGGACUUCACUUUUUCAGCUUACCAAAAUUUAGGCCGUUUGAUCCGGCCCGCCAAUGGCCCGACCCGUUUGCCAGGUCUAAUUGGUAUACUGAGGUUUUGAAACUUGUAUUGCAACUUUAUUUAGUUCUAAUUUGGUUUCAGUUUCGGUUUCGAUUUCAAAAUUAAAUAGUCAAAAAUAAUAUUAAAUACAUCAAAUUAUCUGUCUAAGAAAAAAAAUCCAAAUAUUACUAUGUAAUUUCAUGGAGAAUGGGACAGUAAAAACAAUUUAAAUACUAAACCAUUUUACAAAUAAUAGAAAAAAUUAAAUGGGAGAAGAAGUUUUAUGAAUAAUAAAUUGAGAUAUAAAAUUAAGAUAUCAUACUGAAACAGUAAAACAUUGAGAAAUGCCAAAUAUAUCAUUGGCAAGUGAGAAGUAAGGAGGUCAACCUAUUUUGUCGAUCCCAAAUAAUAAUUUUUUUUGAGAGGUCAAUUUUUGCCUUCUAGGCAAGAGGAUAGCAAGACCCACGUUCCCACUGAACUGAACUAAGAGGAUUUUCUUAUUAGAAAAGAUAAAAAGACUGUAAUGAAAUAUUUUUAAGUUUUAACCCCAAUACAAUUUUUUUGAAUAAAAAAUUAUAUAUGCCCAAUUUUAAUCGAUCUCAAUUAACCCCUCAUUAUUGGGAUGACACCCACCCAUCACACACAUAACCACACUAAUACAAAGAUAAAAAAUUAUGAUUCAAAAUGUACACAUCACUCACACACACACACACACACACACACACAUAUAUAUAUAUAUAUAUAUAUAUAUAUAUAAAAAUAUAAGAAAAAAUAUAUAUAUACGACUGUAUAAUACACAGAUUUAAGAAAAAAUUAAAUAGAAUGGUAUAUGGUAUUGAUUAAUACAGAGAUGUAUAUGGAAUAAAAAAUUUAAAAAAAAAAUCAAAGAGUGAUGGAUGUUUGAUCCAUAAUCAAGAAGAAAUUAUGGUCUCAAAACAGAAAACUCCAUCCAAUUCCGGUGCGAAUCUUGGAUUUCCCCUCCUCUGCUGUCGUUGAGGUUCUUGAUUUUCCGGCCGCUUUGAUUUAACAGCUGCUUGCUCCUUCUUGACAGUCGUCGGAGGAGGGGCUUGUUUAGUUUGUACCGGCAGCGGAUUACCCCAAGAAAAUCCGACUUUCUGACCAAAGGAUUCGGCAGAAAGAACAUCAAAUGAACUGAAAAUUGACAUCAUCAUCGUGUCCUGCUACCUUAAUUCUUUCUUCCUUAGCUCUUGCUAGCUACUUUUCUUUUCCUUCACUCUCUUUGCAAAAGUAAACGUUUGAUGAUAUUAUGAAAACUUUGAACUUUGCAACUGUAAUCGUAGACGGAUGGAUGGCUACAAUAUAACAGAGGAAGUGGAGUUUAUAUAGGAAAGGAAAAGGAAAAGAAUGACUCGACUUCUUUUAGUUGGAAGGAAAUUUCUGAAACUUAAUAUAUAAUUAAUAUUCUGUUGUUUGGACCGGACCAGGCAAUUAGCGUGGGAAGUUGGAAUUUUGGUCAGAUUAAGGAGAAACAUAAAGCGUGUCGGUCGGUCCACUAGAUAUAGCUGGAAUUUGUUUACCCGAACCAAACGCCACACAAGACUUUUGACUCCUACGUCUCUCCUUCCUCUCCACGCGUCCUCAAA